GUAAAAACGGCGUUUAGAAUUGAAACACAUCUACAACAUGUUUAGAUCUAAACGUGUUUAGGAAAGCGUUUAGGAUCUAAACGGAUAUUCACGUAAACACAUUGAAACCUAAACAUGUUUAGAAUUUAAACGUGUUGCAGUUUAAUUAUCUGUGAAUGUUAUCAGUAAGCUAAACAUUAAGUAGCAUCUAAACACUUCUGAAACACUUUCUUAAACACCUAAACACAUUAUACCACUUCAUUACUGAUUUCACCUUUUUACUCGAUGUUCCUUUAUUUUCCAACGUAUUCUGUGACACUAUCUCGGUUUUAUUGAAAUGAAAAUUAUGGAACAGAUAAUUAUAUUUACAAAUCAGUCCCAAGUAUGAGUCAAUAUAUGUUCCUGGUAUGAGCUACUUAUGAGAACAAUUCAUAUCAUCUUCCCCAACUGAGUUCCGCGGCCCUUUUUUGUGUUGUAAGAUUAUAGAUUUGCUAUCAAUUAAAAUUUCUAUAUGUUAAGCAAUUACUUUUUUUUACUGAAUCUUUAUAGUAUUUAUAAGGAAGAUAUGAGUGAAUAUUUUCUCUAAUUUCCGGAGUCGUUGUCCGACUAUGAUCUGAUUUUAUUAAACGAACAGAGUUAUCGUUCUUGGUAAUUUGAUACAGACGCCUUCAGACCCGCCAAAGACAAAAUUAUUUAAAACAAUGGAUCCCAUCGACCAAGCAAAUAUAUCUAUGGACGAUGCAACAGAUACAGAACAUCUUAUUAGAAUAUUGACGGAAUCAAAAGCCAGCUUAACAAUUAUUACAGCAGCGGAAGGACUGUGACACAGUAGUGGGAAUGAAAUCCCUAGAAUAUAGAUCAAAUCGAAGAAAAGAUCAGAUAUAAAACAACGAAGAAAGAAAAGGAUGACUUCAUUUCAAAAGCAGAUUUUACAAAAGUUCACCUGACAACCAAAAAGAACUGCCCACCAAGAGCCUUUAUCAUUCAAAAGAAGAUAGUUCCGUAAUGAACAAUUCCUGUAUGAUAGGAGAUGGACUGACAAUUUCUGUUUUGUUGAGGAUAAAAUUCAUGUGAUUUUACAUUUUCCUGUUAAUGACUAUCUAUGGCAAAUUCUCUUUAUUAAAUCUAUUAACACUUAUGAAAUUGGUGAUGAAAAUGUUAUAAUUUUUCAAGGGAAAAUAAUGUAAACUUGUUAUUGUCUCAUAAAUCUGUACAGAUUAUAUCAAGAUUUAUAAUUGUAUUUUUUGUUUGCUUUAAGUGAGACUUUUAAAUAAAAUAUUGAAAUAA